rnacentral:rRNA from 1 species
UACAGAGGGUGCGAGCGUUGUCCGGAAUCACUGGGCGUAAAGGGCGCGUAGGCGGCUUGGUAAGCGUGCGGUGAAAGCUCGGGGCUCAACCCCGAGUCUGCCGUGCGAACUGCCGGGCUUGAGCACAGUAGAGGCAGAUGGAAUUCCGGGUGUAGCGGUGGAAUGCGUAGAGAUCCGGAAGAACACCGGUGGCGAAGGCGGUCUGCUGGGCUGUGUCUGACGCUGAUGCGCGACAGCGUGGGGAGCAAACAGG